AGUCGAGAGGGUUCGGCCCUCGGCGGAAUGCUCAGUAACAUGUGGAUAAUCUACCCUCGGGUCGGGGAUAACCCCGGGAAACUGGGGAUAAUACCCGAUGCGCUACCUGUGCUGGAAUGCUCGGUAGCUUAAAGCUCAGGCGCCCGAGGAUGAGUCUGCGGCGGAUUAGGUUGUCGCCGGUGUAAUGUACCGACGAGCCGAUAAUCCGUACGGGUUGUGAGAGCAAGAGCCCGGAGAUGGAUUCUGAGACACGAAUCCAGGCCCUACGGGGCGCAGCAGGCGCGAAAACUUUACAAUGCAGGAAACUGCGAUAAGGGAACUCCGAGUGUCUGGGACAUUCUCAGACUGUUCGGAUACCUAAAUAGUAUCCGAUAGUAAGGGCCGGGCAAGACCGGUGCCAGCCGCCGCGGUAACACCGGCGGCCCGAGUGGUAACCGAUAUUAUUGAGCUUAAAGCGCCCGUAGCCGGCCCGGCAAGUCCCUUGGGAAAUCUGGCGGCUUAACUGCCACGCGUCCAGGGGAUACUACCAGGCUUGGGACUGGGAGAGGUACGAGGUACUCCGGGGGUAGGGGUGAAAUCCUGU
rnacentral:rRNA from 1 species